UCUCUGCCUACUCUCUAUUGGGCAGCCUUUGUCGCUAAUAAAGGAAAAGGAGAAAACCACCUGCUGCUGUCAGAGGCCACAGACCACCCGCCGGCCUCCCUGACCCUGCCCUCCAACCACACGCGGGACACUGGGCACAUAGGAAGCAGGGAGAAGAGCGAAGUAGGGGUGGGUAGCUGUGUGUAUCCUGGCGUAGGGUCCUCCUCACUCCCGAAGCCCGAAAGUUCUGGGGCGCUCAGCCUGUGGAAUCUAGUUGACAUAUGGCCACUCCUUCCCUCCCCUCUGGGGCUCUUUGGGAAAAAACGGCCUGCCCAGGGCGCCCCGCCAUCCUCCUGGGGUACCCCACCGCGCUCGGUUGGGGGCGCAGCACUUUGGAGAGAGGCGUCUGGCCCUGCACCUGGGCUGGGGGCGCUCUACCUUGCGCCCUGGGAGUCUGGGGAGCCUGUCAGGCAGCUGCGGUGGGGCCCUGCCCGCCCGUGCCCAGUCCGGAGCCCAGGCGAACUAGCGCGGCGAGCCUCUUCCCCUCCCGCCUCGGGCGUCCAGAGCCCGCGCCCGCUCCAGUUGCUGCAGCUGCAGCUGCUGGCGGCUGAGGGGAGCGCGGGGCGCGCGCCGAAGAGGCUCUGGCGGCAAGGACGGGGACGAGGAGGAGUCGGAGGCGGCGAGGAGGAAGAGCGAGCCGAGGCCGAGGACGCUUGCCAGCGUGGCGACAGGACUCGGGGGUCCCGGGAGCAUGGGCUAGCAGGCGGCCACGGCCCGGCGGCCGGACGCGGUGAACCUGCCGCGGCCGGGCGCGCACUGGGGCGGCAAGCCAGAGCCGAGAGCAGCCCGGGGGAGGAGGGCUGGGGUGGGGGCGCCCGGGCUGAGGGGGCCGAUUAUCCAUUAUUAACGAGUUGCCGCCUAAUAAGCCUAGAGCGGCUCGUUAGCCUUGCGGGAGGCGCGCGGGGAAGGGGGGUCCCCGGCCGGAGCGCAGCGCACACCAGUGGCGCACAGCAGGCGGCGCGGCGCCGAGGACACCCGGGCCCGCGCGAGGAGCCAGGGCGGGCCCGGGGGCGGCGCAGACCCCGGGCGCGGGCGGCCCGCGGCGCCCCCUGGCUCUCGGCGCUCGGGGCCAGCGCAACCCGGGGCUAG
rnacentral:lncRNA from 13 species